rnacentral:lncRNA from 1 species
AAUAGGUUUUGAGUGUAGUUUUGCUGUAAAGUGUAUACUCUAUGUGAGUAGUCCCAAGCCAGUGAGGUGGGACUUAGGUGUAUAUCUUAAGGGAGAUACUGUACUUGAGUUAAUAUGUUUUCUGGGUCAACUGAAGAAGGGAAGAACAAGAGGUUGGUGAAGAAGACACUAAAUCCACCAAAGGGUUGAUUGCUGCCAAUAGUCGUGAGCGCAACUCAGUUCAAAAAGUUCAAAACCACUUAAAGGAAAAGUGCAGAUAUUUGCCAUCUUUUCCUAUGAAAUGACAUUGGUUGUUUACUGUUUCUUGUUUAUGUGCUCUGCAUGGUAUGUCACAUUUAUCAGUAAAACAGACUGUAGGGGGUAACAGUACUUAAAUGUUUAUUUUAUGAUGUUUUAGCUUUUGCUGUGUUUAUUCUGCAUUUUCUGAUGAAAAUCAUACUCAGAUAGCUUUUUCUUCUGCUGUUACAGCUUAUCUGUCUCAAGCUGCCCCUAAAAAGAUGAAGUAGUAAUCUGGCAAAAUGAACUCAAGACACACAAAGAGGAGACAUUGGAGACUGAUCUGCAAGGAGUUCAGAUUCACUGAUAACAUGCAAACCAGAGUCUUCUUACUGCUGUCUGUUCCAGAUACGAUGUCAAAGCAAACAAAGGAGACUUAGAAGUAAUGUGACUCAAAUACAAGUGUUUUGAAAGAAUGACUUACUGGGGAACCAAGUUAGAAGAUGAAGGAAGUGAAGACUGGUCAUCUAUGCAGAGGAAAUUACAAGGUACACAUAGCAAUAACACUGGAGAUUCAUUUCUUGCUGGUGCUUAGGCCUUCAUGGUAGAUUACUUCUGGCAGUAAAGUUUAAAAAUAGUCCUCAGAAACCUUGAAAAAGAUGUUUUGAAAGGAACUUUCUUCUUCUGUUUGAUUGCCAGAGUAAGUAAAGUAUUUA